rnacentral:rRNA from 1 species
GGUCAAGCGAACAAGUGCAUGUGGUGGAUGCCUUGGCGAUCACAGGCGAUGAAGGACGCGGUAGCCUGCGAAAAGCUACGGGGAGCUGGCAAACGAGCUUUGAUCCGUAGAUGUCCGAAUGGGGAAACCC